UGAGAUCAUUCCAGAUUCAUUU
rnacentral:miRNA from 1 species